GAUGAAGAACGUAGCGAAAGUGCGAAACGUAAUGUGAAUUGCAAAUUCAGUGAAUCAUCGAGUCUUUGAACGCACAUUGCGCCCCCUGGUAUUCCGGGGGGCAUGCCUGUCCGAGCGUCAUUUCUGCCCUCAAGCACGGCUUGUGUGUUGGGCCCCGUCCUCCGAUUCCGGGGGACGGGCCCGAAAGGCAGCGGCGGCACCGAGUCCGGUCCUCGAGCGUAUGGGGCUUUGUCACCCGCUCUGUAGGCCCGGCCGGCGCUUGCCGAUCAACCCAAAUUUUUAUCCAGGUUGACCUCGGAUCAGGUAGGGAUACCCGCUGAACUUAAGCAUAUCAAUAAGCGGAGGA
rnacentral:misc_RNA from 1 species